rnacentral:tmRNA from 1 species
GGGGACGAUCCGGCUUCGACGUGAGUUCUGCAUUCCCAGAUGCAUGCCGAGGUGCCGUCACGGCCUCGUUAAAAAGGCGGCAAACUGUAAUUGCAGAAGACAAUUACGCACUCGCUGCUUAAUUAUAAGCAGUGACGCUCACUUGGAUCUCGCCUAUGGAUUUUAGAUGAGCGCCAUUUAGUAGGCUGGCUCUUGCUUUUUCACUGACAAAGCGAGGGCGAGAUCAUAGUCAGUGGAGGAUAUGCGAAGUUUGUCUUUGGACGUCGCAUAUUUAUUCUAUAAAACAAAGUCUAAGCAUGUAGAUUUUGGCGAAGAAUGACUUUCGGACGUGGGUUCAACUCCCACCGUCUCCAUUU